rnacentral:misc_RNA from 1 species
GAUGAAGAACGUAGCGAAAUGCGAUACGUAAUGUGAAUUGCAGAAUUCAGUGAAUCAUCGAAUCUUUGAACGCACAUUGCGCCUGCCAGCACUCUGGCAGGCAUGCCUGUUCGAGCGUCAUUUCAACCAUCAAGCCCUAGGCUUGCGUUGGAGCCCUGCGGCUGCCGCAGGCCCCUAAAAGCAGUGGCGGGCUCGCUAUCACACCGAGUGCAGUAGAAUACUCUUCGCUCAGGGCGUGUGGCGGGUUCCAGCCGUGAAACCCCCUACUUCUCAAGGUUGACCUCGGAUCAGGUAGGAAUACCCGCUGAACUUAAGCAUAUCAAUAAGCGGAGGA